rnacentral:rRNA from 1 species
AACGAACGCUGGCGGCAUGCCUAACACAUGCAAGUCGAACGAUGGCUUCGGCCAUAGUGGCGGACGGGUGAGUAGCGCGUGGGAACCUGCCCCGAGGUACGGAAUAACCGCUGGAAACGGCGGCUAAUACCGUAUGAGCCCUGAGGGGGAAAGAUUUAUCGCCUUGGGAGGGGCCCGCGUCCGAUUAGGUAGUUGGUGAGGUAAAGGCUCACCAAGCCUGCGAUCGGUAGCUGGUCUGAGAGGAUGAUCAGCCACACUGGGACUGAGACACGGCCCAGACUCCUACGGGAGGCAGCAGUGGGGAAUAUUGCGCAAUGGGCGAAAGCCUGACGCAGCGACGCCGCGUGGGUGAUGAAGGCCU